AUGAUCACGAAGCUGGUUCACCCAGGGCGGGGCUCGGCCAUUGCAUUUCGGUUGUUCUGACCCUUGUGAAUUCCCCAAAUGCGGGAGUCUUGACGGCAUAAUUUCUGGUAGUGGGGGGCUGCGUUUGCAGUCUCGCU
ensembl:snRNA U1 U1 spliceosomal RNA